rnacentral:rRNA from 1 species
CAUCGUGACUCCUACGGGAGGCAGCAGUGGGGAAUAUUGCACAAUGGGGGAAACCCUGAUGCAGCCAUGCCGCGUGUGUGAAGAAGGCCUUCGGGUUGUAAAGCACUUUCAGUAGGGAGGAAGGUAGUGUAGUUAACACCUGCACUAUUUGACGUUACCUACAGAAGAAGCACCGGCUAACUCCGUGCCAGCAGCCGCGGUAAUACGGAGGGUGCGAGCGUUAAUCGGAAUUACUGGGCGUAAAGCGCAUGCAGGCGGCCUGUUAAGUCAGAUGUGAAAGCCCGGGGCUUAACCUCGGAAUUGCAUUUGAAACUGGCAGGCUAGAGUCUUGUAGAGGGGGUAGAAUUUCAGGUGUAGCGGUGAAAUGCGUAGAGAUCUGAAGGAAUACCAGUGGCGAAGGCGGCCCCCUGGACAAAGACUGACGCUCAGAUGCGAAAGCGUGGGGAGCAAACAGGAUUAGAUACCCUGGUAG